rnacentral:rRNA from 1 species
UACGGAGGAGGCAAGCGUUAUCCGGAAUUAUCGGGCGUAAAGCGUCCGCAGGUGGCACUUCAAGUCUGUCGUCAAAGACUGGGGCUUAACCCUGGAAAGGCGGUGGAAACUGAAGCGCUAGAGUGCGGUAGGGGUAGAGGGAAUUCCCGGUGUAGCGGUGAAAUGCGUAGAGAUCGGGAAGAACAUCGGUGGCGAAAGCGCUCUACUGGACCGCAACUGACACUCAGGGACGAAAGCUAGGGGAGCGAAUGGG